GUCGGAUUCUGGAAGGCAGAGAAACCCCAGAAAGUCUUCAAGGAGUAGGGCUUCGAAAUAGUAACCCCUUCUUCAGUAAUAUUGGCAAUCUGAAACUUAUUGAUAGAUGACCUAUCACGAUAUAAAAGCACAAGCAAACACUUCUCUAGCAAUUUCACAGCCUCUUCAAAGGUCAGGUUCUCAUUCCAUUCAGCACGAAGAAUUGGUCUAGCAAGAUGGUUUCCGAACCCAGUAGCAACAUGAUCAUCCUCAAAAUGUGUA
rnacentral:misc_RNA from 1 species